rnacentral:rRNA from 1 species
AGUGAACGCUGGCGGUAGGCCUAACACAUGCAAGUCGAACGGCAGCACAGUAAGAGCUUGCUCUUACGGGUGGCGAGUGGCGGACGGGUGAGGAAUACAUCGGAAUCUACUUUUUCGUGGGGGAUAACGUAGGGAAACUUACGCUAAUACCGCAUACGACCUACGGGUGAAAGCAGGGGAUCUUCGGACCUUGCGCGAUUGAAUGAGCCGAUGUCGGAUUAGCUAGUUGGCGGGGUAAAGGCCCACCAAGGCGACGAUCCGUAGCUGGUCUGAGAGGAUGAUCGGCCACACUGGAACUGGGACACGGUCCGGCCUCCUACGGGAGGCAGCAGUGGGGAAUAUUGGACAAUGGGCGCAAGCCUGAUCCAGCCAUACCGCGUGGGUGAGGAAGGCCUUCGGGUUGUAAAGCCCUUUUGUUGGGAAAGAAAAGCAGCAGGUUAAUACCCCGCUGUUCUGACGGUACCCAAAGAAUAAGCACCGGCUAACUUCGUG